UCCCUGGUGGCUCAGACAGUAGAGAAUCUGCCUGCAAUGCAGAAGUCCUGGGUUCAUUUCCCAGGUUGGAAA
rnacentral:tRNA from 1 species